rnacentral:tRNA from 1 species
GGUCUCGUAGUGUAGCGGUUAACACGCCUGCCUGUCACGCAGGAGAUCGCGGGUCUCGUCGGGCUCA